GCGCGGGUUGGGCUUGUUGGGCAAGGCCCCUCCAGACUGUAAAUCUGGCGCUUCGGCUACGGGGGUUCGAUUCCCUCCCUGCGUAC
rnacentral:tRNA from 1 species